GGACCUUUAGCUCAGUUGGUCAGAGCAGACGGCUCAUAACCGUCCGGUCAUAGGUUCUUUUAGUUUUA
rnacentral:tRNA from 1 species